rnacentral:rRNA from 1 species
GGAAUAUUGGACAAUGGUCGGAAGACUGAUCCAGCCAUGCCGCGUGAAGGCAGACGGUCCUAUGGAUUGUAAACUUCUUUUGUACGGGAGCAAUAAGGAUCACGCGUGGUCCGAUGAGAGUACCGUACGAAUAAGCAUCGGCUAACUCCGUGCCAGCAGCCGCGGUAAUACGGAGGAUGCGAGCGUUAUCCGGAUUUAUUGGGUUUAAAGGGUGCGUAGGCGGAAGGCUAAGUCAGCGGUGAAACGCAGGUGCUCAACACCUGACCUGCCGUUGAGACUGGUUUUCUGGAAUGCGGAUGCUGUGGGAGGAAUGUGUGGUGUAGCGGUGAAAUGCAUAGAUAUCACACAGAACACCGAUUGCGAAGGCAUCUCACAAAUCCGCGAUUGACGCUGAGGCACGAAGGUGCGGGGAUCGAACA